GUUCCCCGCCCAACUUUUCCCUCUUCCUCAAAAAGCCAAAUUCCCCCGCUUAUCUCCUUCUUCCUCUUUCCCCUUAACCUAAAUCAACUCUUCACCUUGACAAAUUUGAAUCAUCACAAAAACCCUCAGUCUCAAACAUACCCGCAAAUCAAAGUCAUCCUAUUCAGACGACGAUGACACUUCACCAGAAACAAAUCCAAAAACUCAUCGAACUCUACACCAAAGACCAAUUAAUCGAAUUCAUCAUCAACGCCGUCGUAGUAAACUCUACGAUGUACGCUCGCAUACGUCACGUCGCCGAUAGUGACGUAUCUCACCGGUAAAUCUUUGUCUACGGGUUCGUGUGCGGCACCACUAAAGAAACCCUAACUCAAUUCCAGAACUCAAACUACUCAACUGUUUAUGAUUCCCCAAUCAGAAGGAGAGUUGAUUUCAAAUCAAGGAAAAAGGGGUUAGGGUUCAGACAACGCAAAUCAUAUUCCACAGCGUUGUUCAGAUUCAAAUAUUAGAUAUGAGAUUGGAAAAUCACCAUUAAUUUUAUCACCAUGGGUUAAAGGUUGUGGAGAAGCAUCCUGUGACUCUAUAUUCUCAUUACCAAUCCAGGGGUACAUGUUGGGCGUUGUGUCUGCUUGUCUUUCCGCGUUGGCUGGGGUUUACACAUAAUUCUUGAUGAAGAAAAAUAAUGACACCUUAUAUUCGCAGAAUGUUCAGCUGUAUACAUGAUUUUAGAGGAGGGUUUGAGAACGGGCCGUGGUGGGACCACCUUUUCAAUGGCUACACCAUCACAACAUGGCUGGUGGUAUUAAAUAAAUAUAGGUUCCGCUGGUCUUCUACUGUCAUGGUUAAUGAAGUAUGCUGGCAAUAUCAUAAAGGAGCUGUCUUAAAAGCACACUAGGAGUCUCCUACUGUACAAUUAUGGGAUGUGUUUUGUAAAAAGAAACACCCAAAUGAGUCAUCGUCUUAAAGGGCUAAUGUGAUCCGCAAGCACAUGCAAGAGAUUUCGGUUUUAAUUAAGACCCAAGGAAAGAUUUGAAGAACAUGGUCACCUUCGACUCCCAGCUAAUGGGGCAUGAGAAAGCACAUGGCUUCGCCCAACAAUUCCCUUGGAGUGGUGUUAUGCCUGAAAUGGUUUAAACAGUUUCGUAGCCGUCACCACAGGCGAGCAAUCACCAUUUCUAGAAUUGGAGGAACUGGAAUCAGGCAAAGGCAAGAAAGAAGUGGAAGCAAAACCUAUGAGUACACGUUUUUCCAUCUGAUAUUUUCAUUGGCGAGCAUGUAUUCGUGCAUUCUUUUAUAGGGAUGGGGCAGUUCAGCAAGCUCGGAUCUCAAUGAUGCUGGGUGGCUGGUCAUUGAUUGAAUUGUUCACUACUUGAAACUGGUGGCUGGUCAUUGAUUUUGCAAUGAAAUCUUGGAGCAUUCCACAAAGACAAAACAACUAGAUAUAAGUUUGCAAAACUUUCAAGUCUAAAAGCAGAGAGUAUAUGGAUUUGAAGACAACCUAGAAUUAGUUCUUAGUUUAUGUGUAGCGGCAUUCACUUUGCAACUAUUGUGGAUAGGUUUUGAUUAGAAGUUUAUGUUUUUAAUUAGUAUGUAAAUUGAAAACUUAUGUAUGGAUUUUGGUUUAUUAUUGUUAAUAUCAUUUAGGUUUUCUCA